rnacentral:rRNA from 1 species
UAAAGAAUUUCGGUAUGGGAUGGGGAUGCGUUCCAUUAGUUAGUUGGCGGGGUAACGGCCCACCAAGACGACGAUGGAUAGGGGUUCUGAGAGGAAGGUCCCCCACAUUGGAACUGAGACACGGUCCAAACUCCUACGGGAGGCAGCAGUGAGGAAUAUUGGUCAAUGGACGAGAGUCUGAACCAGCCAAGUAGCGUGAAGGAUGACUGCCCUAUGGGUUGUAAACUUCUUUUAUAUGGGAAUAAAACGUUCCACGUGUGGGAUUUUGUAUGUACCAUAUGAAUAAGGAUCGGCUAACUCCGUGCCAGCAGCCGCGGUAAUACGGAGGAUCCGAGCGUUAUCCGGAUUUAUUGGGUUUAAAGGGAGCGUAGGUGGAUUGUUAAGUCAGUUGUGAAAGUUUGCGGCUCAACCGUAAAAUUGCAGUUGAAACUGGCAGUCUUGAGUACAGUAGAGGUGGGCGGAAUUCGUGGUGUAGCGGUGAAAUGCUUAGAUAUCACGAAGAACUCCGAUUGCGAAGGCAGCUCACUGGACUGCAACUGACACUGAGGCUCGAAAGUGUGGGUAUCAAACAGGAUUAGAUACCCUGGUAGUCCACACAGUAAACGAUGAAUACUCGCUGUUUGCGAUAUACAGUAA